rnacentral:rRNA from 1 species
GCAAGUCGAACGGUAACAUGUCUAGCUGGUUAGAAGAUGACGAGUGGCGGACGGGUGAGGAAUGCUUAGGAAUUGGCAUUUAGGUGGGGGACAACAGUUGGAAACGACUGCUAAUACCGCUUGAGAGCUACGGCUCAAGGGGGGAUUCGGCUCCCGCCAUUAGAGAAGCCCAAGUCGGAUUAGGUAGGUGGUGAGGUAACGGCUCACCAAGCCAACGAUCCCUAGCUGGUCUGAGAGGACGAUC